GCAUAUCAAUAAGCGGAGGAAAAGAAACUAACAAGGAUUCCCUUAGUAACGGCGAGUGAAGAGGGAAGAGCUCAAAUUUGAAAGCUGGUACCUCCGGUAUCCGCGUUGUAACCUCGAGACGCGUUUUCCGUGCGGCGCUAUGGACAAGUUCCUUGGAACAGGACAUCGUAGAGGGUGAAAAUCCCGUACUUGCCAUGGAUGUACCGUGCUUUGCGAUACGUGCUCUAAGAGUCGAGUUGUUUGGGAUUGCAGCUCAAAAUGGGUGGUAGACUCCAUCUAAAGCUAAAUAUCGGGGAGAGACCGAUAGCGAACAAGUACCGUGAGGGAAAGAUGAAAAGCACUUUGGAAAGAGAGUUAAAAGUACGUGAAAUUGUCGAAAGGGAAGCGCUUGAAGUCAGCCAUGCCGCUCAGGACUCAGCCUGGCUUUUGCUUGGUGUAUUUCCUGGGUAGCAAGUCAGCAUUGGUUUGGAUCGUCGGAGAAGCAUAGUCGGAAUGUGGCGCCCUCGGGCGUGUUAUAGCCUUCUAUUGGAUACGACGAUCUAGACCAAGGAACGCAGCGCGCCUUAUGGCGGGUCUUCGGACACCUUCGCGCUUAGGAUGCUGGCGUAAUGGCUUUAAGUGGCCCGUCUUGAAACACGGACC
rnacentral:rRNA from 1 species